UACGUAGGGUGCAAGCGUUGUCCGGAAUUACUGGGUGUAAAGGGUCCGCAGGCGGGCAAGUAAGUCGGUGGUGAAAGUUCACGGCUCAACCGUGAAAUUGCCUUCGAUACUGCUUGUCUUGAGUUCGAGAGAGGAUAAUGGAAUUCAUGGUGUAGCGGUGAAAUGUGUAGAGAUCAUGAAGAACACCGGUAGCGAAGGCGGUUAUCUGGCUCGAUACUGACGCUCAGGGACGAAAGCGUGGGUAGCAAACAGG
rnacentral:rRNA from 1 species